GAUGAACGCUAGCUACAGGCUUAACACAUGCAAGUCGAGGGGCAGCAUGGUCUUAGCUUGCUAAGGCCGAUGGCGACCGGCGCACGGGUGAGUAACACGUAUCCAACCUGCCGUCUACUCUUGGACAGCCUUCUGAAAGGAAGAUGAAUACAAGAUGGCAUCAUGAGUCCACAUGUUCACAUGAUUAAAGGUAUUCCGGUAGACGAUGGGGAUGCGUUCCAUUAGAUAGUAGGCGGGGUAAUGGCCCACCUAGUCUUCGAUGGAUAGGGGUUCUGAGAGGAAGGUCCCCCACAUUGGAACUGAGACACGGUCCAAACUCCUACGGGAGGCAGCAGUGAGGAAUAUUGGUCAAUGGGCGAGAGCCUGAACCACCCAAGUAGCGUGAAGGAUGACUGCCCUAUGGGUUGUAAACUUCUUUUAUAAAGGAAUAAAGUCGGGUAUGCAUACCCCGUUUGCAUGUACUUUAUGAAUAAGGAUCGGCUAACUCCGUGCCAGCAGCCGCGGUAAUACGGAGGAUCCGAGCGUUAUCCGGAUUUAUUGGGUUUAAAGGGAGCGUAGAUGGAUGUUUAAGUCAGUUGUGAAAGUUUGCGGCUCAACCGUAAAAUUGCAGUUGAUACUGGAUAUCUUGAGUGCAGUUGAGGCAGGCGGAAUUCGUGGUGUAGCGGUGAAAUGCUUAGAUAUCACGAAGAACUCCGAUUGCGAAGGCAGCCUGCUAAGCUGCAACUGACAUUGAGGCUCGAAAGUGUGGGUAUCAAACAGGAUUAGAUACCUUGGUAGUCCACACGGUAAACGAUGAAUACUCGCUGUUUGCGAUAUACAGCAAGCGGCCAAGCGAAAGCGUUAAGUAUUCCACCUGGGGAGUACGCCGGCAACGGUGAAACUCAAAGGAAUUGACGGGGGCCCGCACAAGCGGAGGAACAUGUGGUUUAAUUCGAUGAUACGCGAGGAACCUUACCCGGGCUUAAAUUGCAGAUGAAUUACGGUGAAAGCCGUAAGCCGCAAGGCAUCUGUGAAGGUGCUGCAUGGUUGUCGUCAGCUCGUGCCGUGAGGUGUCGGCUUAAGUGCCAUAACGAGCGCAACCCUUGUUGUCAGUUACUAACAGGUUCCGCUGAGGACUCUGACAAGACUGCCAUCGUAAGAUGUGAGGAAGGUGGGGAUGACGUCAAAUCAGCACGGCCCUUACGUCCGGGGCUACACACGUGUUACAAUGGGGGGUACAGAGGGCCGCUACCACGCGAGUGGAUGCCAAUCCCCAAAACCUCUCUCAGUUCGGACUGGAGUCUGCAACCCGACUCCACGAAGCUGGAUUCGCUAGUAAUCGCGCAUCAGCCACGGCGCGGUGAAUACGUUCCCGGGCCU
rnacentral:rRNA from 1 species